CAGCCCCAAACGGUGUGAUACAGUUACAGGAUUUAUAUCAUACAAAUACACAGCUCCAAUGCUCAAUUAUUUGUGGCGAACAGUGGCUGAGGACAUGAAUUGCUCUUCGAAACACGUACAGAAUCUUUUUGGAUGUACACGAAUGAAAUUUUGUGUAUAAUGUAGUUUGUUUGUGAUCAGAAUGGAUAAAUUUUAUUAAUGCAUGUUUGACAUUUUUAAAUACACAGGGUUGGUG
rnacentral:lncRNA from 1 species